CACCGUUGCUAAGUUAUCACCUAGGCUGCGGGGUGUUUGUCAAGGAACCACAGUGACCAUGGCCUGAUGAAGGAAAGCUCCUUGAUCCAGCAGACUCUGCGAGAACUAUGCCAGAACAUGCCAACGAUUAAAUGGUGCAGUAGAAGAGUUAAGUCAUGACCGUUUUCAAGGGUUUACCUAAAAGGUGGAAUCAUUUACAUGAUUUUCUCAAGGGUCAUCUUCAAAAGCUACCAAUUUUGUAUAAGUAUCAGUGAAAUACUCCUCCGACAAACCAUUAGACAACACACAAGGAAAGAGAGAGGGAGAAGCCAAGUGGCCCUCUGGUGAUAGAUAAUUAAUGCUUUCAAAUGGAUGAUGGAUGGAAAAAAGAUGAAAAGAACAACAAAAGAGCAGACAUGCCUGUUGGCCAGAAGCUGAAAUAUGGACAGGGACAGAAGCUGAGGAACCAAUGAGGAGGAGCAAGUGGAUUUUGAGGGAAACAAGCAUAUUGUAGGAAGUACGAGAGGUCUGUUAUUACCCCACGUCUUAUGGUCUCUGUAUUUGCUUCUUGAGGAACAAAGUACAAGCACAUUUCCAUAAGUGAAAGAUGGAAGUGAUGUAAAGUGAUGAUUGAUGACCAUCUCUUCAGAUGAUGAAGUGAAGCUUCGAACAGUUAACUAAAUGGUGUCUCACAACUUGUAUGCAGCCAGUCAAGGAUUUGAACCUUCUAGAGACACAUCCUGACAGCAUGUUCCUCACAUCAGAAGAUGGUCAGUUUCAGGGACACCACAGAAAAGACAGACUACCUUACUUAUAAGACCUCCUCUGACUUGAAGAUCAUAUGACUCUAUUGUUCUUUGAGGUCAGUGAACUCCUUGGAUCUAGCAGAGUGACAACUGUCAUCAAAUGGAGUUGACUCUUAAAGUAAAGCUUGACAGAAAAUAAAGGAAAUAGAGAUCAGCCUCCUGUAGAUGACAGUUCAACAGCACAACUCCUUCCAUCAAUGGAAUGGCUCUCUCAAUGUGAUAUAUAAACCAUGAGACUGAGUGCCAAUAACUAGGAAAAUUACCCAGAAUCAGAGUGAUAGUUGCUGUUCUACAUUCUUGUAAUCCUGGACCUAUCCCAAGGAGGUUGACAAAGGACUCAAAACAUCUUUGACCAACAAAACAUGCAGAUCAGGUACAAACAGGGUGAACAGAAGUUGCUUUUAUAGAUUCCAUGAUGUCCGGAUUUGAAUAACAUGCCACAGCUUGGGGUUGUAAAAAACUGCAGUAGAUACACUGGCCUUUGGCUAGGAAGUAGCACUUGGGGAUUAAGUGGGAGCAGAAAGAGGAUGGCAUUUAAGGGGCAAGGAUGGAGCGUGGUCACAUGUCCCAUAAGCAAAGCCACAACUCAUUAAAUAGCAUCUGGAGGUCAACUGAUACUCUCUCAUUAUCUUUUAUUAUGAAAGUCUCCUUUUCUUUACGGUGAUCAGCCACAUUGUACUGUUUUGUUCCUGCUCUCAUUUACAAGGAGCAAUAAUUGCCAUUAGCAAUCAUCGUUGAUUUACAGGAGCACAGCAGCGUUCUAGUAAUAAUACAGAAGGGCCACUGUGUUAUUGUGGUAAGAUUCUUGCCAGCAAUUGGAUAUUAAAAACAAUAAUCUUGGGACGCCUCGGUGGCUCAGUCUACCUUUGGCUCAGGGCGUGACCCCGGGGUCCUGGGAUCGAGUCCCACAUGU